UAGGGUGUAGCUUCAUUUGGCAGAGCAGCAGGAUUCGCCAUACCGAAAAUCAGCGCGUGUUGGGAGUUCGAAUCUCUCCACCCCUGCCA
rnacentral:tRNA from 1 species